ensembl:lncRNA
UUCAAGCUCACUCUCUCUCCACUGCCCCAUUUGCCUCAGCCUACACACACGGACUGAAUCCCCAUCAUUUUGAAAGCAACUUCAGUGGACUCAGUUUCUCUUCUCAAUGCAAUAUUAUUCCCUAUUCCUUUUCCUUUCAUAACCACACUUCAGCAAGUAUUACAAGGUAAACCUUAACCUUGAAAUGCAGCACAAAAAAUCUAUCCACAGGUAACAUUUGCUAAUACCCAACACUGUGCUAAGUCAUGGAAAUAUGAAAAGAAUUCAGAGAAAAAACUUAGAGUCUCACAAUACCAUGUGACAAACGGUAUGAGGGAGGUAUGAACAGAGUAUUAAGAGAAGAAGGAGAGUCAGCUAUUCUCAAAUUGAAGGAUCCUGAAGGAGGAAGUCCUGAGAUAACUUACAUGACAAAAAGAACUAGCUGCAGAAGAGGGAGAUUCAACCAGUUUAGGAUAACCUGGAAAUUUAUUAUAGCCAGAACAUGAGAGCUGAGGAGUGGUACUUACACAGUAUGAAAAGAAUCUUGGACUUUAACCUGGUUAUAAAGGAAACCAUUUAGGGAACGACAUACUUAGAUUGCAUGUUGCGCUGCUGGUUGCACUAUUAUGGAGAAUGGCUUGGUCUGGAAAGACCAGCUAGGAGGUUGUUUUCAUAACUGAAGUUUAAAAAAAAAAUGGGAGCUCUGAAAUAAAUAGGAAUAAGGGAAGCAAAAAUCUGAUCAGAGAUAUUAGGAUAAUAGAACCAAGAGGAGGGAUGAAAGAGGGAAGAAAUUAAAGAAGACUCCCAGGUUUCUGUUUUUUCAGUUUUCUACUUGUUGAGUUAGGAAUGCUUAAGCGCUGUCAGAUGGAUAUGGAGCUUGAGAGGGAGACUUGAACUGGAUAUGUAGCUUUGGGAUUCAUUAGCUUUAGAUGAGAGUUGAAACCAUGCGCAUGGGUAAGAUUAUGAGCCAAGUGGAUGGAGAUCUGAGUUAGUAAUCUAGAAACCAAAAGGUAGCAGAGAUGAGGGAGGUAUGCAGACAAACAAACAUAUGUAAAUAUCAUGAACUGUUUCAAGGAACAGGAUUUUAACAUAAAAGCAGAGGAAUACUGGUUUAGAUGUAGUAUUUAAGAAUGAGGGGAGAACUGAACUCAUCUCUGGACUUGGUGUUCAUGAACAAAUGAGACCGAGAAGGCGACAGAGUCCGCUAGAAGAUGGAAGUCACAUUUUUAAAACUCAGUCAUGGAAGUGACAUCUCAUCACUUUUGUUGUGUUCUGCUUAUUAGAAAUAAUCUGCUAGGGAGUAAUAAUCUUUCAAGGGGAGAUUAUUACACAAAGGCAUACAUGCAAGGAGGUGGGGAUCACAGUAGGAUAUUUUAUUUUAUUUUGACUUUUAGGGCCACAUAUGCGGCAUAUGGGAGCUCUCAGGCUAGGGGUCAAGUCAGAGCUGCAGCUACCGACCUACACCACAGCCACCACAACUUGGGAUCGGAGCUGCAUCUGUGACUUAUGCUGCAGCUUGAGGCAAUGAUGGAUCCUUCACCCACUGAGUGAGGCCAGGGAUUAAACAUGCAUCCUCAUGGAUAACUAGUUGGGUUCAUUACAGCUGAGCCACAGCAGGAACUCCUCAUUGUCCUAAUUUUAGGGCUGACGAAAGUGAGCUGAGAGAAGUUCACUGAUUUGCUCGGAUCCAACAAGUAUAAGGGAGAGAAGUAGAAUUCACAUCUAAAAUUGUCUAAAUCUAAAUCUCAAGCUCUCCAUCUACCUUCUAUUCCUUGGAUAAUUAUGCUUAACAACUUAAACGCUUAUUUUCUGUUUUGCAAAAUAUGGUGCCUAAAGUAUUUGUUGUACAUCUUUCCUCAACUGGGUGGUCAAAGUAUAUAUGAAUUCUUAAUGUUUUCCUAGUUAUAAAAGUAAUAGAAAUAAUAUUUUGAAUAAGAAAACCCCCAAACUCCCUCACUUCAAAAUGUACGGAAAUGCUGAGUGAGUGAAACAGAGACCAAAAAAUAAAAGACAAAAGAAAGAAGGAAGGAAGGAUGGAAGGAAAGAAAGGAAGGAAGAAAGCCAGGGAUAAAUUAAUUCUGGAAUAUGAGUAGAAAAAAAAAAUUCCCCUUCCUGCAUCCCCCUCAUGACUACACAUCUGAUCAGUGUUGAUAAGCAUGUGGAAAAUCAAAACUCUCAUGUUUUACUGAUGAGGGUAUAAAAUGAUGCACUUGCUUUGGAAAACAAGAAUCUCCUCUAAAAGUUGAACAUAGAAUUACUGUUAGAGCCUACAUGGGAGCUCACUGUUAAAAUGGCUCCUUGUACUGACCUCGCAAACAAAAUAUGAAGUCAGAGUGACCCAUGAGACUGACCACCUGGCUCAAGUGACAUUCUGUUUUAGCCGCUGGCACCUCCUAGCCUGAAACUAUGAGACCACGCUACCGUGGGACACCUCCAGCUUUCUCAAGACUACGUGACCACCAGAGUCCAGCUGCAGGCCAAAGAUAAACUAACCCCCCUUCAGGGGAUCCAAUUUUCCACUUGUGGGGUACAAGAAGGGCCUGCCAGAAGAGCAGGGGGAGGGCUCUUCUCAAGGGUCAGUCACUGUCUCGUUUCCCUUUAAUAAAUGUGCUUUUCUUUGCCCAGCCACUGGACUCAUUCUCUUUUUCUCUGCACUCGCCUUACAGUUAGCAUAUAAACCCAGCAAUACACUCCUAGGUACAUAUCCAAGAGAAAGAGAACAUAACAUGGCUACACAAAAACUUGUAUAGAAAUAUCUAUACCAGUAUAAUUCAUGCCAGCCAAAAAGGAGAAGUAGUUUAAAUGUCAGUCAGUUGGGGAAUACAUAAAGAAAUGUGUUCUAUGCAUAUAGUGAAAUGGUAUUUAGUCAUAAAAAAAGAAUGAAGUACUGGAGUUCCCUGGUGGCACAGCAGAUUGAAGAUCCAGCAUUUUCACUGCUGUGGCUUGGGUCACUGCUAUGGCAUGGGUUCAAUCUGUGGCCCAGGAAUCUCCAUAUGCCAUAGGAGCAGCCAAAAAAA